rnacentral:rRNA from 1 species
UAUGCAGGCGGGCCGGACGCAGAACGAUGGGCUAUGCUUAUGGGCGUGCACGGCGGGGCCGGGCGCGAUGAAUUAUUCACCCGGGUAUUUUGGGUCCUUCUUGUUUCGUGGGUGGGCUCACCCGCCAUCAGGACCAACCACAAACCUUUUGCAAUACCAAUCAGCGUCAGUAACAACAUAAUUAAUUACAAAUGUCAACCACGGAUAUUUUGGAUGGGGCCACGAUGAAGAAAACAGCGAAAUGAGAUACGUAGUUGACAUGUCGAAUUCAGUGAAUCAUUGAAUCUUUGAAAGCACAGGCGCCCUUCCAAUUGCAAAGGGCAUGCAAGUUGGAGCGUCAUUUGUACCCUCAAGCUUUGAUUGGUGUUGGGAGUCUUUUUUGGUCAGUUCGGAGGGCGGGCGAUUAAAGUCAGAAGCAGAGAACUACGCAAAAUACGAGGGCAGCUCAUUUAACAGUCUCGGCCCCCCCAGGCAAGCUCCAACCAGUGUUCAGUCGGGCGUUACUCGGAUCCGUAGG